AGGCUAUUAAAAUUAAACAGCAUUAACAAUGCAGCUCCGAAUAACCAGGGAAUAAUGCCUGCAUAGAAAAUUUAUAUGUGUUUCUCCAGCUCUACCACCACAGGACGGUUGGCUUCUGGCCACAGAAGGGGAGAACUGAACCCUGAAAGCUCUGAAAAAUAGCACCGUGAUGCUGCAAUGCCCUUAAGAGGAGAGCAGUCAACUCUGCCCAAAACAGAGCAGUGUGUUGCUUUGAAUGCUGGUGCUUAAGGAGAGGGUGGAGACCAUGGCAGAGAACAAUCAGAUGCACAGACCUGGUCAAGAAGCGGAAAGGUGUGAGCUCAUGAUUUCAUUUCCUUCAUACACGGAGCUGGCAGCCAGAAAUCCAGAGCAGAGUAAAGGGAAGGAGAAAAAGCAACCUCCUGGAAAUCAGUUGACAAACAGUAAUCAAAGGAGAAGAGCAAUAGUCUCCGGGCUCAGCAGUCAUGAAGAUCUUGGUUUUACUGCACCCAGAAUGGAGGUGUUUUAG
rnacentral:lncRNA from 1 species